AUUGCUUCUUGGCCUUUUGGCUAAGAUCAAGUGUAGUAUCUGUUCUUAUCUGUUUAAUAUCUGGAGAAAAAAAGUCCCCUAUUUGGGGACCAUAUAUUAAAUGGAUUUUUGAGAACGGGGGCCGAUUUCAAAGCUUGGUUCCAUUGCCCCAUGCAUUGACCCGAUAUGGCAGUAUCUUCGUGUACAGUGCACCAAAA